GUUAUUUCCCUCCCCAGGAUUCAAUGAAGCAUUAAGCCGAAGUUUCUGAACGGGUGAAGAUAUACAGUUUGGACUACUAGGAAUAAAACAUGCAAUACUUGGAUUAUUUAAUAUGUCUAUACAUCUUCUUUGGGGGGACGUGUGUGGACAGCCUAAAGAAACUACCUCAUGUGAUCAAAUAUGAAACAAUUACGCCUCAAAAACUACAUAAACUAUCUCAAACAAAUACAGAACAACAGAAAACCCCUCCAAUAGUCACAUUCUCACUGGCCAUAGAUGGGCUGAACAGGACUCUCCACUUGGAAAGAAACAUACAUCUUAUUGGGAGAAACUUCACUGUUGUACAUUAUUCUGA
ensembl:lncRNA